GACGAACGCUGGCGGCGUGCUUAACACAUGCAAGUCGAACGGAAAGGCCCUGCUUUUGUGGGUUUCUCGAGUGGCGAACGGGUGAGUAACACGUGAGUAACCUCCCCUUGACUUUGGGAUAACUUCAGGAAACUGGGGCGAAUACCGGAUAUGAGCUCCUGCUGCAUGGUGGGGGUUGGAAAGUUUCGGCGGUUGGGGAUGGACUCGCGGCUUAUCAGCUUGUUGGUGGGGUAGUGGCUUACCAAGGCUUUGACGGGUAGCCGGCCUGGGAGGGUGACCGGCCACAAUGGGACUGCGAUACGGCCCAGAGUCCAACGGGCGGCAACAGGCGGGAGUAUUGCACAAUGGGCGGAAGCCUGAUGCAGCAACGCCGCGUGCGGAAUGACGGCUUUCGGGUUGUAAACCGAUUUCGCCUGUGACGAAGCGUGAGUGACGGUAAUGGGUAAAGAAGCACCGGCUAACUACGUG
rnacentral:rRNA from 1 species